rnacentral:rRNA from 24 species
UUAGACCUCAAAUCAGGUGGGA